ACGUCCAUCUGGUGUACAAACAUCCGUUCCUGGUUCGCCACAGCCAGCAUGGUACGCAGCGUAUCCAAUUUUACAACCGGUGAGUAGGUUUCCGUGUAAUCAAAUCCGAAACGUUGGCUAAAACCUCUCGCGACAAGCCGGGCUUUGUAACGGUCUGGAUUUCCACCUUCGCCUGGCUUCACCCGGAACACCCACUUACACGAAAUCGGCACCCGACCCUUCGGUAGUGUCUCCAAUGUCCAGGUUUGGUUUCGCCGCAAGGAAUCCAUUUCGUCCUGUAUUGCUGCUUGCCACUUCGGCCAAUCCGCCCUCUUCUUCAAUUCCGCGAUACUGUCUGGAAGAUUCUCCACAUAUUCCAUUGCGCCCAAAGCAACUCCCGCAAAAGUCAUAUCAUAGUCCUUUGCCCACACUGGUGGCUUUCUCACUCGACCCGAUGACGUUGCACUGAUCGUCUCACCACCACUUGCUUCUUCAACAGUCUCAUCUUCCAGAGUAUCGUCACAAGAAUCGAAAAUUUCGGACACUUCACGUUCAGGCACUUCUUGUUCUUCAUGUUCUUCUUCAUGUUCUAUUUCCUGUUCUUCUUCAUAUUUUUUUUCGUCUUUAUCGGAUUCCCCACCGUUUUCAAUGUCAGUAAUUGGGGGGCCGACCACACUUUCAGUCCACUUAUUGUCUUUCUUUUCAUUUGCACUCACUUUCGAAGCUUCGUCGAUAAUCACAUCUCGAACAGUCACAAUUUUCCGCUCCUCGGGCUUCCACACUCGAUAACCGUUCGUUCCAUAUCCCACGAAGACUCCUUUCCAACUUUUCUCAUCAAGUUUUCGUCGCUUCUCUUUUGGAAUGUGGCAGUAGGCCAUGGAUCCAAACACUCGCAAUUUUGACACAUCCGGUUUUCUCCCUUCGAACAUUUCGUACGGUGUCAGCUUCUGGCCGAUGGCGCUAGCCGGACUCCUAUUGGCCAGGAACGCCGCGGUCUGCACCGCUUCGCCCCAGAACUUCCGACUGAUUCCGGAAUCGAAGACCAUCGAUCGAGCCUUCUCAACCAGUGUUCGAUUCAUCCGUUCAUUGGUGCCGUUCUGCUCCGGACAAUAAGGUAUAUUCCCCGCCGUUGUCAGAACGGAAGCGAGAAGUUUUCACCCCAAACUUCGCAGUCAUUUGCGCUUCGUACUCCUGAAAACGCUGAACCACCUCGUCCUUCGAAUGGAGUAGAUAAACCACCGUGAAUCUGGACCAGUCGUCGAUGAAGGUGACGAAAUAUUUGUGGCCAUUCCAUCCCGCCGGUGUCACUGGCCCGCAGACAUCAGAAUGUACGAGCUCCAGUACCCGACUCGAACGCCGCUCCUCUUGCAGCGUGAACGGAUUCCUCGCCCUUCACCAUUCCGUUCUUGAUGAGACACGACAAAUUGCGCUCCCCAAGAUGCCCAUAACGACGAUGCCACAACUCUGUUGCUUUAUUUAUUUGCCCGGAGAAAUACAAGGAACUGCACUCACCUUUUGCUGCGUAGA